GGAAUAUCCAAUCCAUAUUCCAAAGACACGGAUAUUUAAAAAAGGGUUUGCGUCCUCAUCUGCCUUUCCAGACCAGCAGUUCCCAAAAGCCAGUGUGAGAACCAUCUGCAUCAGAGUGACCAGUCUGUGAAGAUCAAGCAUAGGAAUGCCAGGACUCCACCCUACAUGUCCUUUAUCUGGGGUGGUGCCCAGGCUUCCCGAUUAUUCUACCAACUCUACCAAAUCCUUGUUCUUCGUUGCACAAUUAGCUGUGAAACAGACAGAGGUUACCUACAAUAAGUGCAUGUCAUUUUGGACUAGCCAUAUUUCAAGGGCUCAGUAUGGCUAAUGGCCACUAUAUUGGACAUCGACGGUCAAACCCAUUUUACAUUCCCCUGACAACUAUGAUUGGUGUGAGGCCUAUGAUGGCCCAACUAGGCUGACAGCAAAGAUCUUUCCUGUUGGCAAAGAUCAUCUUUCUCUCUCCUGCUGGCAAGAACAAGAAAGAAUAAAGGUCUGAUCAACCCAUGAGCUUUCUUGGGAUUUAUGAGGAGAACCAGACUUUGGAUGAAACUGACAUUGAAAUGAGCAGGAUGGAGAGAAAAAUCCUAGGGGUUUGGUGACAAUACUGGGCUGCUGAUUAAACUUGGAGUUUGCCCUGACUCUGAACUUUCUAUUUAGUGAGAUAAUAAUUGUCUCAAUUGUUUAAGCUAGCUUGUGUUGCUUCCAGCUAAAAGAGUGCCAGCUAUAUACAAUGUGCAAGCUGACAUGUUGUCAUGCUCUGACACUGAUGAACACACCCCCACAAGGCUGUGAAGUAGUAGGGGAAGAACUAACCUGCAUGGAGUUGGAAGGGGGGGAAAAACAAAAUCAAACCAUAUGGAAAGCAGUUGAAUUCACUGCAUUAAAUAUACUUUUUAAAAUGUACAACAUAAUAGCCAUAUGUUUAAGUCAGAAUCAUCUGCAAAGCACGCAUGUUCACUUUCUGUUCCAGAGUCAGGCGUCUGAAUUCUGUGAGCAAAGCCUAGAGAAAAAAAACUAAGCCUAUGCCAGAUUUACAGGAAUAGUUAUCUUUAUAAAGACUAUAUGAACUGUAAUACAAAGUUACAAAGCUGAAGGCAAAGCUUUUCAAUAAAGCAAGUGGCUCUCAAAGAGAUACCUUCAAGAGUGUGGUUCUAUGUUUCCCACCUAGUGCUAAGUAAAACAUACAUUUCAAUUAGAAUUAGAAUGUACUUCAGGAAGUAAAUUAUUAAAUGACCUAGCACAUUUUGAUGUUUUUAAAAGCCCAAACUCCCAGCUGUGGAGAACAAUGAGUCUUUAAUGAUAAUUUAUUCCCCUCUUGUUCCCAUGAUUGCUAGAUAGCUGGGGGCCCUAGAUACUUAUUGGGCUCCAGGGACCCAAUGUGGGCAUUGUCAGAGGAGGAUACCAAUUAGCAGGUUUGGUUUCACAAAGAAGCAAAGAUUGCCCUGAGGUGAAAAACUCUGUCUCAGAGAAAACACCCUUGAACUUGAAUUGUCUUUUUUGCUCAUCAUUAGAAGUCAGCAAAGGAUUUAGCCUCUCCCUCACCAAUUCAUUAUCCACACUCUUCAGAAAAAAAAAAAUAAUAAUAAAAUAAAAUAUUUUCUCUUAUUAUGAAGGUGACAAUAAAGACAGUAAGCUUACCACAUGCAGAAAAGAGAGUGACCACUUUCUACUAGUUUUAAUGGCACUAUCACUGCUUCCAAAAAUUGCUUUAGGUCACUUACGGCCCCUGGAGAUAAACAUCUGAGGAUUCUGCAUAAGGUCCUUAAUGGGUGUUUUCAGGACAGCAUAAUUACCUGAGGCUUGUAAGAGUGAAAAGCAUCAGCCUCAAGGUUACUGAAUAAUGUAUGGUUGCCUGUUUGUCUAUUAGAGAGAGAUAAAGAAGAACAAAAAUCCAGUCACCAUAUGAAUCACAAUUUUAUUAUCUUUUUCAUUCAUUUAGUAUUUCAUUCAACACAUUUGAAAGCAUUUAUUAUGCACCAGGCACUGUACUAAACACUUUAGAUUCUAGUAUGAUUAAGACAGCAGAGUUCUACCCAUUGAGAUGUUCACAAUCUAGGUGGGGAAGGACAUGGAGAAUGAAGAAUAAGCAGACCAUUAAUUCCCAGAAAGGAGUAGGGUUACCUCUGGGCCCCUGCGGAGGUCAAUGAAGCUUUGUCUAUGGCCUUUAAGAGCUUUUCAUUU
rnacentral:lncRNA from 10 species